rnacentral:rRNA from 1 species
CAGCAGCCACGGUAAUACGUAGGGUGCAAGCGUUAAUCGGAAUUACUGGGCGUAAAGCGUGCGCAGGCGGUUAUAUAAGACAGAUGUGAAAUCCCCGGGCUCAACCUGGGAACUGCAUUUGUGACUGCAUAGCUAGAGUACGGCAGAGGGGGAUGGAAUUCCGCGUGUAGCAGUGAAAUGCGUAGAUAUGCGGAGGAACACCGAUGGCGAAGGCAAUCCCCUGGGCCUGUACUGACGCUCAUGCACGAAAGCGUGGGGAGCAAACAGGAUUAGAUACCCUAGUAGUCCCUGUCUCUUAUAC